rnacentral:rRNA from 1 species
AGUGAACGCUGGCGGUAGGCCUAACACAUGCAAGUCGAACGGCAGCACAGUAAGAGCUUGCUCUUACGGGUGGCGAGUGGCGGACGGGUGAGGAAUACAUCGGAAUCUACUUUUUCGUGGGGGAUAACGUAGGGAAACUUACGCUAAUACCGCAUACGACCUACGGGUGAAAGCAGGGGAUCUUCGGACCUUGCGCGAUUGAAUGAGCCGAUGUCGGAUUAGCUAGUUGGCGGGGUAAAGGCCCACCAAGGCGACGAUCCGUAGCUGGUCUGGGAGGAUGAUCAGCCACACUGGAACUGAGACACGGUCCAGACGCCUACGGGAGGCAGCAGUGGGGAAUAUUGGACAAGGGGCGCAAGCCUGAUCCAGCCAUACCGCGUGGGUGAAGAAGGCCUUCGGGUUGUAAAGCCCUUUUGUUGGGAAAGAAAAGCAGCAGGUUAAUACCCCGCUGUUCGGACGGUACCCAAAGAAUAAGCACCGGCUAACUGCGG